GGUGAUCCCUAUUAAGGUAUGUGAGAUUUAUUUUGUGUUGGGUUAGUUCACCCACACACUAACUUGUUCAAUUCAGCGAAAUUGGAGUUGUUUGAAUGUUAAGAAAGUGAAGUUCUUGAAGAACAUUGUUGAAUUCGUGUGGGUUGAUUGUUGAAUGCCUAGUGUUGAUUUGAUUCGUGUUUCCGGGUUGUUUUUCGAGUUAAAUCUAUCAUGUAUUGAGGGUAUAAA
rnacentral:lncRNA from 1 species